CCUACGGGUGGCAGCAGUGGGGAAUAUUGGGCAAUGGGCGCAAGCCUGACCCAGCAACGCCGCGUGAAGGAAGAAGGCCCUCGGGUUGUAAACUUCUUUUUUCAAGGACGAAACAAAUGACGGUACUUGAUGUAUACGCCACGGCUAACUACGUGCCCGCCGCCGCGGUAAUACGUAGGUGGCAAGAGUUAUCCGGCUGUACUGGGUGUAAAGGGCGUGUAGGCGGGACUGCAAGUCAGUUGUGAAAACCAUGGGCUCAACCCAUGGCCUGCAGUUGAAACUGGAGUUCUUGAGUGUUGGAGAGGCAGGCGGAAUUCGGGGUGUAGCGGUGAAAUGCGUAGAUAUACGGAGGAACACCAGUGGCGAAGGCGGCCUGCUGGACAAUAACUGACGCUGAGGCGCGAAAGCGUGGGGAGCAAACAGGAUUAGAUACCCCGGUAGUC
rnacentral:rRNA from 1 species